GAGUGUAUAGCUCAAGUGAUAGAGAGCAUGCUUAGCAUACACAAAGUCCUGGGUUCAAUUCCCAGUACCUUCU
rnacentral:tRNA from 1 species